rnacentral:rRNA from 1 species
CCUGCGGAGGGAUCAUUACAAGAAGCCGAAAGGCUACUUCAAACCAUCGCGAACUCGUCCAAGUUGCUUCGGCGGCGCGGCACCCCUUAACGGGGGCGCCGCAGCCCUGCCUCUCCGGAGGUUCGGGGCGCCCGCCGGAGGUACGAAACUCUGUAUUAUAGUGGCAUCUCUGAGUAUAAAACAAAUAAGUUAAAACUUUCAACAACGGAUCUCUUGGUUCUGGCAUCGAUGAAGAACGCAGCGAAAUGCGAUAAGUAAUGUGAAUUGCAGAAUUCAGUGAAUCAUCGAAUCUUUGAACGCACAUUGCGCCCGGUAGUACUCUACCGGGCAUGCCUGUUCGAGCGUCAUUUCAACCCUCAAGCCCUGCUUGGUGUUGGGGCCCUACGGCUGCCGUAGGCCCUGAAAGGAAGUGGCGGGCUCGCUACAACUCCGAGCGUAGUAAUUCAUUAUCUCGCUAGGGAGGUUGCGGCGUGCUCCUGCCGUUAAAGACCCAUCUUUAACCAAGGUUGACCUCGGAUCAGGUAGGAAUACCCGCUGAACUUAAGCAUAUCAA